CGGCCUUGAAAUACCACCCUUUAAUGUUUGAUGUUCUAACGUGGACCCGUGAUCCGGGUUGCGGACAGUGUCUGGUGGGUAGUUUGACUGGGGCGGUCUCCUCCUAAAGAGUAACGGAGGAGCACGAAGGUUGGCUAAUCCUGGUCGGACAUCAGGAGGUUAGUGCAAUGGCAUAAGCCAGCUUGACUGCGAGCGUGACGGCGCGAGCAGGUGCGAAAGCAGGUCAUAGUGAUCCGGUGGUUCUGAAUGGAAGGGCCAUCGCUCAACGGAUAAAAGGUACUCCGGGGAUAACAGGCUGAUACCGCCCAAGAGUUCAUAUCGACGGCGGUGUUUGGCACCUCGAUGUCGGCUCAUCACAUCCUGGGGCUGAAGUAGGUCCCAAGGGUAUGGCUGUUCGCCAUUUAAAGUGGUACGCGAGCUGGGUUUAGAACGUCGUGAGACAGUUCGGUCCCUAUCUGCCGUGGGCGCUGGAGAACUGAGGGGGGCUGCUCCUAGUACGAGAGGACCGGAGUGGACGCAUCACUGGUGUUCGGGUUGUCAUGCCAAUGGCACUGCCCGGUAGCUAAAUGCGGAAGAGAUAAGUGCUGAAAGCAUCUAAGCACGAAACUUGCCCCGAGAUGAGUUCUCCCUGACCCUUUAAGGGUCCUGAAGGAACGUUGAAGACGACGA
rnacentral:rRNA from 1 species